rnacentral:lncRNA from 1 species
CUUAGGGCCAAGGUUCUUUUUCCUUUUGAUCUUAGCAAACCAAGCUUUUCAGGGUACAGCGUGAAGAGGAGGUGCAGCCUCAGCAGACUGUCAGCUUUUUAUGGGUGGUUAAGCCUGUUCUGCCAGCUAUCUGAACUCCUUUGGGGAGGGGCUCAUCUCUUCCUGCCUAGGGGUCUCUAUCCCUACAGGACUAUAGGCCUUUCUAUUACAUGGAGACUCAGGUUAUGGAACCCCCAAGACAUGAGCUCACUUCCUUGGCAACAUCUCCAAACAAAACUUGGAUCCCUUGUUAAUGGGUGUCACAAUCUAGUAACAGCCGUCUCCCAAGCUCACUUGGCCAGAGAUGGUCAACAGCAAACAUGCUGAGCUGCUUCUCCACUUCGAGAGGCUGCAUCCUCAGGACCCCAGGCAGAGAAAGUACCUGUGAAAGAUUAAGAAGAGGGCUGACUCCAUCCAGAUGCCACAGGCCACACUGUAGCAGCCACAUGACUGUCACAGACACCCCAGGGAUGGUCUCCCUGGGAGUGACCGCCAGUGACCUACCAAAAUCAAGUUGCCAUCCAGGACAAUUCUACACAUGAUUUCCUCUCAUUUGCUACAUUCUCUGCUUGAAGAGUCUAGCAAGCAUCAAGAUGUGAAUGACCUGCCCUGCUACCUCCAGAGGCAAACAAAGUGGAUAUCAGCUUCUCCCUGCAUGCACAGGAAGAAUGUCAAGGACUUGCUUUUACAACAUAGUCAUCUGAGGAUAUUUUCCAUUCAGAGAUUCUAUUGUUUUUUCUACUGCCAGCUGUAACAAAACAGGGAAAUGAGGUUUUAAAAAAAUCAGUGUUAAGUGUAAACAAAUCAUUUGGGCUCCACUUGGUUCCAUAGUGUUUUAUGUUUACUUUAGAGAUGCAACCUUUGCAGGCAUUGGCUAAUCCUCAUGUGAUAAAUAAAAUUAUCUUUAAAAUUAGAGUAUGACGUCACCACAACCAUGGUAUGAUGGAA